rnacentral:rRNA from 1 species
AAUCUUCCGCAAUGGGCGAAAGCCUGACGGAGCAACGCCGCGUGAGUGAUGAAGGUCUUCGGAUCGUAAAACUCUGUUAUUAGGGAAGAACAUAUGUGUAAGUAACUGUGCACAUCUUGACGGUACCUAAUCAGAAAGCCACGGCUAACUACGUGCCAGCAGCCGCGGUAAUACGUAGGUGGCAAGCGUUAUCCGGAAUUAUUGGGCGUAAAGCGCGCGUAGGCGGUUUUUUAAGUCUGAUGUGAAAGCCCACGGCUCAACCGUGGAGGGUCAUUGGAAACUGGAAAACUUGAGUGCAGAAGAGGAAAGUGGAAUUCCAUGUGUAGCGGUGAAAUGCGCAGAGAUAUGGAGGAACACCAGUGGCGAAGGCGACUUUCUGGUCUGUAACUGACGCUGAUGUGCGAAAGCGUGGGGAUCAAACAGGAUUAGAUACCCUGGUAGUCCACGCCGUAAACGAUGAGUGCUAAGUGUUAGGGGGUUUCCGCCCCUUAGUGCUGCAGCUAACGCAUUAAG